CGUACACUCCUGCGGGAGGCAUCAGUGGGGAAUAUUGGACAAUGGGCGCAAGCCUGAUCCAGCCAUGCCGCGUGAGUGAUGAAGGCCCUAGGGUUGUAAAGCUCUUUCACCGGUGAAGAUAAUGACGGUAACCGGAGAAGAAGCCCCGGCUAACUUCGUGCCAGCAGCCGCGGUAAUACGAAGGGGGCUAGCGUUGUUCGGAUUUACUGGGCGUAAAGCGCACGUAGGCGGACUAUUAAGUCAGGGGUGAAAUCCCGGGGCUCAACCCCGGAACUGCCUUUGAUACUGGUAGUCUUGAGUUCGAGAGAGGUGAGUGGAAUUCCGAGUGUAGAGGUGAAAUUCGUAGAUAUUCGGAGGAACACCAGUGGCGAAGGCGGCUCACUGGCUCGAUACUGACGCUGAGGUGCGAAAGCGUGGGGAGCAAACAGGAUUAGAAACCCGUGUAGUCCC
rnacentral:rRNA from 1 species